rnacentral:lncRNA from 1 species
GUCUAUAUAAACAAGCCAUACCACUCUGGUACCUGCACAGCGUGUUAAUUAUAGCAAUGUUGAUGAAAGCCAAGAUCCAGAAUUGACCUAAGGGCCCAUCAACAGCAAUCAACAGCAGAGUGGACAAAGAAGCUGUGCCGUGCAUUGGCUAGGGGAUGUGGCUCAAUUAGGAUGUUGAUUUAGCAUGCAUGAAGUCCUGGGUUCAAUUCCCAGGACUGCAUACAUUGUGGUGCACAUCUGUAUUCUAGGACCCAGCAGGGAGAGGUAGAAAGAUUAGGAAUUCAAGGCCAUCCUCAGCUGCCUGUCGAAUCUGAAACCAAGCUAGGCUACAUGAGGAAGAAGAGGAAGAAAAUGUGAUGUAUACACACACUAGAGGGGUUGUUUUGUUGUUCUUGUUUUGUUUUUUUUGGGUUGUUGUGGGGGUUUUUUGUUUGUUUGUUUGUUUUGGUUUGUUUUUGUUUUUGUUUGCUUUUCCAGACAGGGUUUCUCUGUGUAGUCCUGGCUGUCCUGGAACUCACUCUGUAGACCAGGCUGGCCUCGAACUCAGAAAUUCGCCUGCCUCUGCCUCCCGAGUGCUGGGAUUAAAGGCUUGCGCCAUCACACCCAGCUUGUUUUGUUUUGCCAUUAAAUACUCACAAAAACAGUUGUGGUGAUUCCUGUUUAUAAUCCUAGCACUUGGAAAGCUGAGACAGGAGGAUUGCCCUGAGUUCAAGUCCAUCUUGGGCUACAGAGGAAGCUACAAAGUAAGACCUUGUCUCAAAUCAAAACCCAAUAUAUGAAAGUAGAGGGGGAGUGAGCGGGCAGGGAACAAGGGUGGGCAGAGACCAUGAAACGGGCAUUUUGUGUGGUAAGUUUUUCAAAUGUAGAAAAUUUUGGAAAUGUUUGUUGUCCUACAUCCCAAAAGUAACCAUAAUGAACAGAUGGUUUCUUGUUCCAGAUUUUUGUUUGUUUGUUGAGACAGGGCAUCAUGUACACCAGGCUGGCUUUGAUCUUACAGAGAUCCUUCUGCCCCAGCCUCUCCAUAGCUGGGAUUACGGUGUGCCCCACCGCUCCCAGCUGUAACCUUUUCUGAUUUUAGGUCCCUGCUUCCCAUGUGCUUUCUCUUUUAGCAGAAGUGAGAAGACAGAGCACUGCAGUUGGCCUUGUAACUAUACCCAAUGCUUUUGAAAAUAUUAUUAUUAUUAUUUAUUGUUAUUUAAUUAUGUGUAAAUAUGAGCACAAGAGUGCAGGUGCCCACAGAGGCUCUGGCCUGGAUAGAGUUACAGACACCUGACAGGGUUGCUGGGAAUUGAACUCUGGCCCUCGGGAGAAACGGUGCAUGCUCUUAACCACUGAGCCACCUCUUCAGCCCCCAAAUUCUUUUCUAAUGUUACACAGUAUGCCUUUGUUCCAAUGGCAACAUUUUGGUUUUUCCUUGUUCAUUCCAAAUGUUGGCAUGAACACAAAACAUCUAAAAAAUAUCCAUGAAAUUCCUAGAAAUCGAACCAAAUCACUCCUUAAUUUUUUGUUUGUUUGUUUUUUGUUUUUUCGAGACCGGGUUUCUCUGGGUAGCCCUGGCUGUCCUGGAACUCACUUUGUAGACCAGGCUGGCCUCGAACUCAGAAAUCUGCCUGCCUCUGCCUCCCAAGUGCUGGGAUUAAAGGCGUGUACCACCACUACCUGGCAAAGAUUUAUUUAUUUUUAUGUGCAUUGGUGUUUCGCCUGCAUGCAUGUCUGUGUGAGGACAUCAGAUCCUUUGGAACUGGAAUUACAGGCAGUGUGUGAACUGCUAUGUGCAUGUUGGGACCUGAACCCAGGUCCUCUGGAAGAGCAGCCAGUGCUCUU